UCACCCCUCAAGCCCCGGCUUGGUGUUGGACUUAGUUAUAGCUUUGCCUAUCAACUGGUCUCAAAGAUAGUGACGGCGCCCCAGAGGGAACCGGGUACGAGGAGCUUUUUGUUAAGCAUGUGCCUGGGACGACUCUGAUGGGCGACGGUCUUGUUAUACUUUUACCUAAG
rnacentral:misc_RNA from 1 species